CUGAAUAACUACGCAGAUCGCUUCGGUUUUACACCGGCGACAUAUCCUUCAAGUGUCUGCCUUAUCAACUUUCGAUGGUAGUUUCUACGCCUACCAUGGUUUCGACGGGUAACGGAGAAUUAGGGUUCGACUCCGGAGAGGGAGCCUGAGAAACGGCUACCACUUCUAAGGAAGGCAGCAGGCGCGCAAAUUACCCACUCUCGGCACGAGGAGGUAGUGACGAAAAAUAACGAGAUAACCCGCUUUUGCGAGUUAUCAUCGGAAUGAGUACAAUCUAAAUCCUUUAACGAGGACCUAGCGGAGGGCAAGUCUGGUGCCAGCAGCCGCGGUAAUUCCAGCUCCGCCAGUGUAUAUCUAUGCUGCUGCGGUUAAAAAG
rnacentral:rRNA from 1 species